AACGAACGCUGGCGGCAUGCCUAACACAUGCAAGUCGAACGAGACCUUCGGGUCUAGUGGCGCACGGGUGCGUAACGCGUGGGAACCUGCCCUUAGGUUCGGAAUAACUCCCCGAAAGGGGUGCGAAUACCGGAUAAUGUCUUCGGACCAAAGAGUUAUCGCCUUUGGAUGGGCCCGCGUUGGAUUAGCUAGUUGGUAGGGUAAAAGCCUACCAAGGCGACGAUCCAUAGCUGGUCUGAGAGGAUGAUCAGCCACACUGGGACUGAGACACGGCCCAGACUACUACGCGAGGCAGCAGUGGGGAAUACUGGACAAUGGGCGAAAGCCUGAUCCAGCAAUGCCGGGUGAGUGAUGAAGGCCUUAGGGUUGUAAAGCUCUUUUACACGGGAUGAUAAUGACAGUACCGGGAGAAUAAGCUCCGGCUAACUCCGUG
rnacentral:rRNA from 1 species